GAAAAAAGAGCUUUUUAGAUAAUUUUUCAAGAAAGAAUUUAUAAAUAAUAUUUAUUGCUAUCCCCCAUGAUGCAUCACUACCCGCCAUUUUGUUCAGAGAGCCAAGGAAUUUCCGACGUUGAAAAGCACAAGGGAACAAUGAGUGACUUUGAGACAUCUCCACCCAAGGAAAUAGAGAUUGAUGCUGAUGGAGACGAAGGUGAAGCUCUUUUGAAAAAGUCUCCCUCGCCAGAGCCUGCUACUGAGAAGACUAAUGGUAAAGCAGACAGUGACCGCAGAGAGCGAUCUCGAUCCCAUUCGUCCCAUGGACGUCAUAGACAUAGAAGGUCAAGUCACAGACGAUACUCAAGGUCAAGAUCCAAAAGUCCAUAUUACAGCAGUAAACGACGAAGAUCUCGAUACUCUCGCAGCAGAAGUUAUAGUUAUGAUAGAGGAGAGUCUCCAUACUAUAGUGACCGUCGCAAAUCUUACUACAGAAGUCGCAGUCGUUCCCCAAUGUCUACAAGAAAACGGCAUCUUGGUGACAGGGAGCAUCCAGAAGCGAAUCGAUGUCUUGGCGUGUUUGGCUUAAGCCUGUACACCCAAGAAAGGGGGCUUCGUGAAGUGUUUGGUCGCUAUGGGCAUAUCGAUGAGGUUCAAGUGGUAUAUGAUCGGCAGACUGGUAGAUCAAGGGGAUUUGCCUUUGUCUACUUCAAGUCACCAGAAGAUGCUGUAGAGGCUAAAGACAGAUGCAAUGGCAUAGAAAUUGAUGGCCGCAGAAUUCGUGUGGACUUUUCCAUCACAGAAAGGGCUCAUACACCAACUCCUGGUAUAUACCUUGGCAAGCCAACAUCACGCAGAUCUCCUGGUCGCAGAUAUUCAUCUUCAUAUCGCCGAUCACCGUCACCCUAUUACUACAGUCGACGUUCACGUUCACGAUCAUACUCACCGCCUCGUUAAUGAAGAAAGAAAAAGAAGCGUGUGAAGAAAGAAAAAGAAAAUUCUUGAAGAUAAGCUGUAAGAGGGAGGCAACGAAAAUAUAAGGGCUGGCUAUGAAGAGAAGAACUUCGCAAGAGCGAGUUAUCUCCAGAAGAGGAGAAGAAAGCUUCUGUAGUAGACGGGGGGAAAGAAAAUGAAGGAAAUUUUUUUUAUAGAAAAUUGCCAGGUUGGAAUGAAGAUCUGAAGUGGUGUGUUGGGUUUGCUGCCCAUGAUGCAAAUGCUCAAGUUCACCCGAGCUUAAAUAGAAGGAGACAGUAGUCAUCUGAAAAGCUGCAAGACAGCAAAAAUAGAAAAUCAAAAUUUAAACAUGCGAAAUUUAGCAGCUCAAGUUUGGAUGAAUUAUGAAGAAAUGAAGAUGUUGUCCAGUUUUGUCUUGCACCUUUGGAACAGAUGAGCAGAAGAAGCCAAGGGUAUGAACAGCCUUGAACUUCAUCCUGUUCAAAGUGUGUAAGCAUGUACAAAAAUAUUUUGUGACAAAAUAGCCAUAAUGUAUUUUAGACAUUUUUAGUUAAACACUUUUCUGAAACAGAAUUAAAAUUUUAGCAUUCUGAAAGCAUAAAAUUGUUCUUCACUUAUGUAAACUGCAUGCUUAUUUUUAAACAAUUGAGUUAUUGCUAGUGUAUGCAGGAAUAAAAGCCUUCAUCAAAAGUGUAAAGCCAGCUAUUUUAAAGAAAAGUUGAAAGUAGCUUGGUAUGAAAGCACGCCCUGCUUUUUUAAAAUUAAAAGGAAAUGAUAAUGCUUUGUUUUUAAAGUAAUUUAUUUUUUGUGUUAGUUUGAGGUUGUAUUAGUAUUUACAGUGGUAAAACUAUUUUUAGAUUUGUUUCUGUAGCAGAAAUCUUUGAUAUCUUCUGCUCACCUUUCCAAUUUUCUUAAAAACUUACAGGGAAGAAACAGUUUUAUCCGAUGAUACCUUUUUUAAAUCUGCUGCAAUUAGGAUAUAUAUAUAUUGAUUAACACCUUUGUAGCAAUCGGUCUUGUAUGUAGGAGUUAAAUCCUUGAUAAAUAAAAAUGUUUCUCACAAAAAUAGUACAUGCUUACACAACCUUGUGCAGUAUUCCAGUGCAUGAUCUCAUUUUUGUCUUUUGUCUUUAAUUUGUGCAGUCAUUAGACUGAAAAAGUAAACAGGCUGAUCAAGUCAUAAGCUAUUUCUGCAUACUGUCAGGUUUUAGUAUGUUUGGUAUUUCUGUUACAGAUAUUCAAUUCCAUUAUUUUAAAUGGACAUCAGGCCAUGAAUUCAUUCAGAAGACUGGCUAAGUCUGGUAUCAAAAUGAGACUAUAAAAUAAAGGAUACAAUGAAUUUCCCAUAACCAUCUUGGACUUGAUGUUUCACAGCAAAACAGAGAAAAAAAAUCUUUUUGCAAAAGAAUAUUACACGUAAUCAAACAUUUCAGUCAGAUGAAACUAAAGAUUAACUGCAGCAAAUUGGGGGACGUAGAAAUAAAUUAGUUGUAAAUGAGUGAAGUUGGCAUUAGAAAGUCUGACUCAAAAAGUGGUCAAUAACAUAAAACCUUUAUCAUUUUGCAUGAUCGUGUGCUGUAAAAGCAUAGAAAACCUGAAACUUCAAAAGUGCUGAAAUAUUUUAUGUGACAGAACUUAACGAAACCACUCAUAGGCAACAAUCUGCCCAAGAGUGGGCUAUUUCCAGGUCCUGUCAGUUUACUAACCCAGGCUUUACUGUUGUGUGUGACAACCAAAACCCAAACACCCAACCUUCCCUUUUGUGGUGGUUAGAUGUGCACUGUUUUUCAGGUUACUCUUAGGCAAUAGAUUGCAGAUUCCUUUUCCCACUGUGUUCACUUGACUACUUGCAGAAAUCGUGAUUGCUUUUAAUGAUCUUCAGAUAAAAACCUUAUAUUUCCUUCAUCAGUUAGGUUUUUUAACCUUGAUGGUUACAUUAGUAAAUCACGUUGAGACGUCUGAACAGCUGUAGCUUUGAGUGUGGGCUUUGUAGUUGCAUUAAGAAAGUGGAGGAGGAUACAGACAGAAUAUUUUUCUUAGGUGCAGCAGAUAGUAAGACAAGCAGCAAUGUUUGUUUAUACGCUUAAUGUGUCACAGAAUUCCAUUAAACAGGAUGCAUGGAGAAAGUACUGCUAGUAUGCAGCAGAAGUCAUGAGUACUUCUUUAUUGGUAAGCAGUGAUCUUUGGCCGAGUCGCGCAUCACCGGCAAUACCACGCUUUCUGUAGAAGCGUUCAGCUUUCUUUCCAUAUUUGAGAAAUAAAUCAUGGUUACAUUUUA
rnacentral:misc_RNA from 1 species